AUCUGAUAACCCUACGAAUGGUAGAGUGUAGUCUGGAGAAAAGUACAUAGUAUCUGG
rnacentral:sRNA from 1 species